rnacentral:rRNA from 1 species
UACAGAGGUCCCAAGCGUUGUUCGGAAUCACUGGGCGUAAAGGGCGCGUAGGCGGCUUUGUAAGUCGGGGGUGAAAGCCUGUGGCUCAACCACAGAAUUGCCUUCGAUACUGCAUGGCUUGAGACCGGAAGAGGUUAGUGGAACUGCGAGUGUAGAGGUGAAAUUCGUAGAUAUUCGCAAGAACACCAGUGGCGAAGGCGGCUGACUGGUCCGGUUCUGACGCUGAGGCGCGAAAGCGUGGGGAGCAAACAGG